rnacentral:rRNA from 1 species
AUUGAACGCUGGCGGCAUGCCUUACACAUGCAAGUCGAACGGCAGCACGGGUGCUUGCACCUGGUGGCGAGUGGCGAACGGGUGAGUAAUACAUCGGAACAUGUCCUGUAGUGGGGGAUAGCCCGGCGAAAGCCGGAUUAAUACCGCAUACGAUCUACGGAUGAAAGCGGGGGACCUUCGGGCCUCGCGCUAUCGGGUUGGCCGAUAGCUGAUUAGCUAGUUGGUGGGGUAAAGGCCUACCAAGGCGACGAUCAGUAGCUGGUCUGAGAGGACGACCAGGCAACAGUGGACUUGAAAACCGGCCCAGAGUCCAAGGGAGGGAGGAGGUGGGGAAUUUUGGCAAUGGGGGGAAGGCUUGUCCAAGAAAUGCGGGUGGGGUGAAGAGGCCUUCCGGGUGGAAAGCCCCUUUGGCCGGGAAAAAAUUCUUUGGCUUAAUACCAGCCGGGGAUGACGGUACCGGAAGAAUAAGCACCGGCUAACUACGUG